rnacentral:sRNA from 1 species
GGAGAAAUCCCAUCUCUACUAAAAAUAGAAAAAUUAGCCAGGCGUGGUGGUAGAUGCCUGUAAUCCCAGCUAUUUGGGAGGCUGAGGCAGGGGAAUUGCUUGAGCCCAGGAGACAGAUGUUGCAGUGAGCCAAGAUCAUGCCACUGCACUCCUGCCUGGCUGACAGAGCGAGACUCUGUCUAAAAAAAAAAAAAGAAAAAGCAACUUUGAACAUGUUUUGUUUUGUUUGUUUAAUUUCAGGAGCACAGAGAGUUUCCUGUCAGGGAAGCUGACAUGUUGGUCGCGUGAAAGCACGAGGCCUGUGUGGUGGGUUCGGUGGGUGCCGCCGGCUGCUGGUUAUAUUCACACUCACUCAGCAUAGACUCCUAGCGAGCUGGGAGUGAAGCCUUCACAACAAAAGCAUAGAAUACAGCUACUGUAAAAAAUAAGAAAUUUAAAAAUUUUCAGAAAUGAUAGCACUUUUUGAAGGAAAAUAAGGAUUUCAUUUUUAAAAAAUCACUUUGCUGGUUUUGUAACUUCUGCUGCAACCUCACUCCAUGCUUCCAUACCUAUUUUUAAGGUUCUUAAACUGGACCCAGACACAUCAGCGAUAGGCCAUGGUUGUUGUAACACAAAGGGACUGAGAUUCUUGUUCUUGCUUUAGUUGACCAGCAAGUCAAGUCCCUGUCGUCGGUCCUGUCGCGGUACCAGGGUUUCAGUGGAGAAGAUGGAGGGAGUAAAAACUGCUUCGGGCGCAGUGGCGCUGUCCUCUACAUCCGGGUCCCCGUGGGCACGCUGGUGAAGGAGGGAGGCAGAGUUGUGGCCGACCUGUCUUGCGUGGGAGAUGAGUACAUUGCCGCGCUGGGCGGGGCAGGAGGGAAAGGCAACCGCUUCUUCCUGGCCAACAACAACCGUGCCCCUGUGACCUGUACCCCUGGACAGCCAGGACAGCAGCGAGUUCUCCACCUGGAGCUCAAGACGGUGGCCCACGCCGGAAUGG